CCUGCCUGGUAGCGGGGGAUAACUAUUGGAAACGAUAGCUAAUACCGCAUAAGAGUAGAUGUUGCAUGACAUUUGCUUAAAAGGUGCAAUUGCACCACUACCAGAUGGACCUGCGUUGUAUUAGCUAGUUGGUGGGGUAACGGCUCACCAAGGCGACGAUACAUAGCCGACCUGAGAGGGUGAUCGGCCACACUGGGACUGAGACACGGCCCAG
rnacentral:rRNA from 1 species